AGAACGAACGCUGGCGGCAUGCCUAAUACAUGCAAGUCGAACGAACUCUUCGGAGUUAGUGGCGCACGGGUGCGUAACGCGUGGGAAUCUGCCCUUGGGUUCGGAAUAACAGUUGGAAACGACUGCUAAUACCGGAUGAUGACGAAAGUCCAAAGAUUUAUCGCCCAGGGAUGAGCCCGCGUAGGAUUAGCUAGUUGGUGAGGUAAAGGCUCACCGAAGGCGACGAUCC
rnacentral:rRNA from 1 species